CCAUAUGUUAGAUUAGUAACCUGGCCAGAUUGGACCGUCUUAAAACAAUUCCAUAUGUUAGAUUAGUAACCUGGCCAGAUUGGACCGUCUUAAAACAAUUCCAUAUGUUAGAUUAGUAACCUGGCCAGAUUGUACGAUUUCGUUAGUUUAGUAGGAACUCAGCGCUCUAAAGACCCCUUUUUUUAACAUUUUUAAACAGCUUUGUGUUGAGGAAUAGAAUUAUAUUGAAACUAAGCUGCCAACUGGAACUAAGCCUUAGACACACACACACACACACACACACACACACACACACACACACACACACAGCUUCUCGCUUCCCCCUUACAGUGCCCCCUAUAGGUGUAACCCUCCAGAGCUACGUGAAAACACAUCAAAAGCUGCUACACUGGGUAAUAGGCUGACAAAUAGACAGAGAGAGAGACAGAACCUCAAAGUAAAUGUUGCAGUACCACCCUCUAUUCAUCACCACUUGGAUGACAGAGUUUGUCCAUGUCUCUAUUGAGUCUUUUGGGUUAAUUUAGUAUUAUGUUGUUGUUGUUGUUGUUGGUGUUGUUGUUGUUGUUGUUGUUGUUGUUGUUGUAGGGGGUGUUAGUUGUGUUGAUGCUGGUGAACUUGAAGGAGAAAAAGGCAGUUGGGAUUUAAAUGGAUUCAACAGUAUUUUGGAAAAUCAGGUCCAACUCUCUCUGUCUCUCUCUCUCUCUCUCUCUCUGUCUCUCUCUCUCUCUCUCUCUCUCUCUCUCUCUCUCUCUCUCUCUCUCUCUCUCUCUCUCUCUCUCUCUCUCUCUCUCUCUCUCUCUCUCUCUCUCUCUCUCUCUCUCUCUCUCUCUCUCUCUCUCUCCUCUCUCUCUCCUCUCUCUCUCAAGAAAACUGGAAUUUCAUAAAAUACUGAUGAGUAACUUUUAUUGCAUUGUUUUAUGAUGACAAGAAGUUAGGAUAUAUUUAAUAUAUUCAUUAUGUGUGACGUCAGAAGAAAUGUUAUAAUAUAUUCCUAGAGUAAACAUGGUUUCUUUCCUUUAUAUAGACCUAGUUUAGAGAUCAAACUAAAACACAUUUUUCUUCUCAAAAAACAACAACGAUAGUUUGAACAUUUAAAUUUGUGAUGUAAUUUAGUGUUAUUAUGUUAACAAUGUAAUGUACGAUGUGUUUUUUGUGUGUGUUGGGGUGUUGUGUUUAGUGGGAGGACAGAGAUAUCAGGCUGUUUAGUAUGGAGGUCUAUGGAGCCAUUCAGAAUGAACAGAGCUGAGAGAGACUGACCUCUAUCGACUCCCCAUCACCCCCCAUCACCCCCCAUCACCCCC
rnacentral:lncRNA from 1 species